GCGUAAGUCAUGCGCGGAGUCUGGUGCUAUGCCCCCCUCCCUCACCCUCAACGCGUGGCUGCCGUCACAGCGCGCAGCCCACGUCCAUAAGCUCCCACAGACAGAGUGUGAGUGUUGAAGGCGGAGUGGGAGCGACGCAGAGGGCGCACGCAGUCAUCAGUCGGCAACGCGCGCGCGCGUGCGUGCGUGCGUGCCAAGCCACAGCAGCAUCGCAGGACAGAGAAACACAGAGAGGGGGAAGGACGAGCGGAUAUUGCUGUGGCUCACGCAGCGUGUGCACUCUACCACGGAGCAAGCCCAUAACUGUGCGCAUGCACACCCACCGCCCACGACCGACGUCUGUAGCCCUGCGGCUCACUCCUGAUCCGUCGAGGGCGGAAGCGUUGGCGUCUGUCGCGCGGGUGGUAGGGAGAUGCCAGUGUGGCGUCUGAGAGUGGUAUGACCACAUCUGUAAUCCAUGCAGUCGGCAUCGAGGCCUCUGGCCGUUGCCGCCGACUCGGCAAGUCUGUCAACUGUGUCCUGGUGCUCCCAUCCGCAAGGGCCACCGACAAGCUGAAGUGAGAGGCACACGCGAUGCGCCCGUGUCGCCAGCUGCAUGUGCCCCAAUGCGUCGGCCCCGUGCCGACCUCCACCGCUGUAGGUCCCGUGCUGUGCGCCAUGCGGAGGGAGAGCGAGUCCGUCAGAACAGCGACACUAGCUCAUGUGUGUCUGCGUUGGCCCAGUCGUCUCCGUAGCAGGUUCAGCCUCAGCCUCACACGCAGCACGAUCGCUCCAAGCAAGGGGGCCGCAGCCUCUUGUCCGUAUACCCAUGAGUAUGCCGUAGAGCAUCGCGGCCGCUUCUGAUUGGAUGGCUCUCUGCCCACAGCCCGAGAGGGAGUGAUAUGCGGACGCAUACGCGAACGCUGUGCAUGAGGAAGGUGUGUGCGCGCGGAUCUCCGAAGGUUGUCGAUGCCAGCAAACCCGUGUGAGAGCCGCCGAGGCAUCGUGACGGUUCCGUGGUACGGCGCGCACGCUUCCCGCGCGAACUGCGCAGGGUCGCCUCCUCGCGUGAGUGCGGAGGGAUGCAGGCGAGUAUCUUGGUCGUGCGCGAGGAAAGAGAAACUCGAUUCGGCCUGUGCGAGCGCGCCGUGGGCUCCUACGAAGGGCACACACCAACUCAACAGUGCUGGCGGUCAAACAGGUGCCGCUCCUGUGCCAUGUUUCUGCACACGCGAAUUCUCAUCACGUGCACUGCUUCCUCACAGCUAUGUCAUGGCACGUGUGGACUGGUGUGUGCGCCGGUGAGUCAGAAGCGCUCAAGGCGUAUGCAGUAACCGCACGCCAGUCCGCACUCCCGCCCCACCGGCGACUCACAGCCCUCUCCUUUCUCACCUUGUGCGCCGUGACAUCCUGAACCACUGAUGCUAUCCAUCUCCCCAUCUGGUCUCCUCUGGCGGCCAUCACCUCCGCCCGUCUCCAUCCGGCGCAUCUGCGCUCCCAG
rnacentral:misc_RNA from 1 species